AACCCCAAGAGUGUAUCUUAAUGUUGCUGCAGUUAAAAAGCUCGUAGUUGAAUUUCUGGCUCUCUCGUUGUCCUCUGGAUAACGAGGAGUCAUCGGCUUGGAGAAACAGUACGACCCUCAAAAGUUGUAUUGUAGACCCAGCAUUUUACUUUGAAGAAAUUAGAGUGUUCCUGGCAGGCAGCGCUUGCAUAUAUUAGCAUGGAAUAAUGGAAUAAGACUUUGUCUGUUUUUUUGGUUAACAGAUAAGUAAUGAUUAACAGGGACAGUCGGGGGCAUUCGUACUCAGUGGCUAGAGGUGAAAUUCUUAGAUUCGCUGAAGACGAACUAAUGCGAAAGCAUUUGCCAAGGAUGUUUUCA
rnacentral:rRNA from 1 species